AAGAAUGACAUCAAGGAGAAAGAUAGUCAACUGCAAGCAAGAUCAACCUGGAGAGAAUUUGACAGCUCAGGUCAACCUAAUACCUGUGGCUGCCACUCGCCUUUCCUAUAACA
ensembl:snoRNA